rnacentral:rRNA from 1 species
CCUACGGGUGGCAGCAGUGAGGAAUAUUGGUCAAUGGGCGGGAGCCUGAACCAGCCAAGUCGCGUGAGGGAAGACGGUCCUAUGGAUUGUAAACCUCUUUAGGCGGGGAGCAAUGCCGGGCACGCGUGCCCGGAGGGAGAGUACCCGCAGAAUAAGCAUCGGCUAACUCCGUGCCAGCAGCCGCGGUAAUACGGAGGAUGCGAGCGUUAUCCGGAUUUACUGGGUGUAAAGGGAGCGUAGACGGCAAUACAAGUCGGAAGUGAAAUACCCGGGCUCAACCUGGGAACUGCUUUGGAAACUGUAUGGCUGGAGUGCUGGAGAGGCAAUCGGAAUUCCGUGUGUAGCGGUGAAAUGCGUAGAUAUACGGAGGAACACCAGUGGCGAAGGCGGAUUGCUGGACAUUAACUGACGCUGAGGCACGAAGGCCAGGGGAGCGAAAGGGAUUAGAUACCCCUGUAGUC